UACGUAGGCAGCGAGCGUUGUUCGGAGUUACUGGGCGUAAAGCGUGCGUAGGCGGUGUCUUAAGUUUGUUGUGAAAUCUCCCGGCUUAACCGGGAGGGUGCGGCGAAUACUGAGAUGCUGGAGUGCCGGAGAGGUAAGCGGAAUUCCUGGUGUAGCGGUGAAAUGCGUAGAUAUCAGGAGGAACACCUGUGGCGAAAGCGGCUCACUGGACCAUAACUGACGCUGAUGCACGAAAGCUAGGGGAGCAAACAGG
rnacentral:rRNA from 1 species